rnacentral:rRNA from 1 species
UACGUAGGAGACGAGCGUUGUCCGGAGUUACUGGGCGUAAAGGGUGCGCAGGUGGCGGCGCGCGUGGGGGGUGAAAUCGCCCGGCUUAACUGGGCGGGGGCCUUCCAGACGGCGUGGCUUGAGCAGCGGAGGGGGACGUGGAAUUCCGGGUGGAGCGGUGAAAUGCGUAGAGAUCCGGAGGAACACCGACGGCGAAGGCAGUGUCCUGGGGAGUACCUGACGCUCAGGUGCGAAAGCCAGGGGAGCGAACGGG